UACGGAGGGUGCAAGCGUUAUCCGGAUUUACUGGGUUUAAAGGGUGUGUAGGCGGGCUUUUAAGUCAGUGGUGAAAUCUCCGGGCUCAACCCGGAAACUGCCAUUGAUACUAUUAGUCUUGAAUUUUGUUGAGGUAGGCGGAAUAAGUCAUGUAGCGGUGAAAUGCUUAGAUAUGACUUAGAACACCAAAUUGCGAAGGCAGCUUGCUAAACAAACAUUGACGCUGAGGCACGAAAGCGUGGGGAUCAAACAGGAUUAGAAACCCCUGGUAGUCCAAACAACGAUCGUC
rnacentral:rRNA from 1 species